AAUCAAGUGGAGGACAAGUCUGGUGCCAGCACCCGCGGUAAUUCCAGCUCCACUAGCGUAUAUUAAAGUUCUUGCAGUUAAAAAGCUCGUAGUUGAACCUCUGUCUGGGGCUAGUUUUGGCUUUGGUCAGGCUAGUUCUAGGCAUCCGCCUACAAGACUUAGAGGGCAUUCAGUUGUUCACUAGGAGGAGUAGGCAUUUUACUUUGAAAAAAUUAGAGUGUUUAAGGCAGGCAAUCGCCCGCAUAUAUUAGCAUGGAAUAAUAGAAUAGGACACUUUUCCAUUUCGUUGGUUAUUGGAAUCGUGUAAUGAUUAAUAGGGACAGUUGUGGGCAUUUGUAUUUAAUUGUCAGAGGUGAAAUUCUUGGAUUUAUUAAAGACAAACUAACGCGAAAGCAUUUGCCAAGGAUGUUUUCAUUAAUCAAGAACGAAAGUUAGGGGAUCAAAGACGAUCAGAUACCGUCCUAGUCUUAACUAUAAACUAUUCCGACUCAAUGUUUGACUGGCUUAUAUAACCAGUUGAGCGUUGUAUGAGAAAUCAAAGUCUUUAGGUUCUGGGGGGAGUAUGGUUGCAAAGCUGAAACUUAAAGGAAUUGACGGAAGAGCACUACCAGGAGUGGAUUCUGCGGCUUAAUUUGACUCAACACGGGGAAACUUACCAGGUUAAAACAAUAGUGGGAUUGACAGUUUGAGAGCGCUUUCUUGAUUGGUUGGGUGGUGGUGCAUGGCCGUUCUUAGUUGGUGGAGUGAUUUGUCUGCUUAAUUGCGUUAACGAACGAGACCUUAACCUGCUUACUAGACUGGCGAUCAUCAAUCGUUAGCUCUUCUUAGAGGGACUUUGGUUGUUUUAACUCCAAGGAAGUUUGAGGCAAUAACAGGUCUGUGAUGCCCUUAGAUAUCCUGGGCCGCACGCGUCAUACAAUGACUAGUUCAGAAAGUUUUCUCCUGACCCGAAAGGGGAUGGGUAAUCUUGAUAAUACUAGUCGUGUUAGGGAUCGAUCUUUGCAAUUAUAGAUCUUGAACGAGGAAUUCCUAGUAAGUGCGGUUCAUCAGACCGUACUGAUUACGUCCCUGCUCUUUGUACACACCGCCCGUCGCUUCUACCGAGUGGGUGGUCCGGUGAGAUAAUUGAACUUCGCAGGUAACUGAGAGGAAAGAUUAUCAAACCUAUCCACCU
rnacentral:rRNA from 1 species